ACAGGGCACUGCAUACUGCUGGUCUUGUUCUCUUUUUCUUUGCUCCUUGGGGACCACAAGGUGAACAGCUUCUCCACCGGCACCCUGGCAUGGUGCACUGCUUUGCCACAGACCCAAAAGUGAGGGGUCACUGGAACCGCAACUUCCAGAACUGUGAGCCAAGACAAACCUUUUCUUCUUACAAGAUGAUUGUCUCAGGUAUUUUGUACAGUAAUAGAAGUGAGAUUUAAAAGGGAAGCAGAUGACCGGUUUUAAAGCAUUUAGAAACAAUGGUUUGGGGUCAUGAAACUUGGACUCUUGUACAUUGUGAUGUGUCAUUGCUUCCUGGAGAAAUGAGGUUGCAGGAACAAAAUGAAGGAAGGGAAAACAGAAGGGAAUACAGAGUCUAGAUAGAGUAUUUGCAUCUGUUUCCUAUUGCUGGGAGAAAAUGCCUGCCACAUACAAUUCAAAGUAAAAAGGAUUUAUUUUGGCUCAAGGUUUCAGUCCUUGCUUGGCUGACUGCAAGGUAGAAACUGCCUGGGGCAAGGUUUGGGAGCGAGAGAGAACCAGGGAAGAAAGAAGGAGACAGGGGCAAGAAUAUGGCCUUGGGGUUCACCCCGCCAUGACAGUGUCAAUGUGAGUGAGAAACACCCAACUAAAUUGGAUAGCACAGUUCUGGUGUGGCUGAGGGGACUCACUGAAGACUUCCCAGGAUUUACUGGGUGUGAGUGACAGCAACCAAUGGGCUUGCCGCCUGAAGGGAAUAAAAGGGGAACAAAGAAGGAAGUCUCCUUUCGGUUUCUUCGGACGAGCUCCAGUCUUUGCCUUCACCUUGGAUGAAGUCCACUGGCUUCCAGCGCAGACUCUUCCACCUUUCAUUGCAGAGCAUUUGGCCUCCUGGGCCCUGCCUCAUUCUCCAGAGGAAGCGAGCAAGAUGUGCAUUCCUUGUUCCAGGAGGAGCCCUGCCUCAUCCACAGGAGGAGGGAAUUAACGGCAAAGCAGCCCCAGCAGGCCUGGCAGGAGACUUCCGGAAGAAGCCCCUGUGGUCACGGGAGAGGACAGUGCAGUUUUCAGCUUAGGCAACAAUAUGAAGAAAACAUUGAAGAAAAGAGCAUUGUACAUAGCAGAAUGGACACUCAGGAAGAAACCAUUUCACAUGGUGAGUGGCACUUAUGAGGAACAAAGAAGUGGAAAGAGUGCUGCUGAAUCGGCCUGCUCACCUUCAUCAUAACUAUCACACUGUCAUUGCCAGUGGACUGAAUGGUGGCCAAAGGAUGUGUCCACUUCCCCUGAACCAGAAUCUGGGGUAUUGCCUUCUGUGGCAAGUGGUGGGAUUAAACAAAGGAGCUUAAGAGGAAAACCUGGGUUAUCUGGAUAGGCUCCAGAUGCCCUCCCAUGGGUCCCUGUGGUAGAGGCAGGAGCAGAUUCAGCUCCAGACACAAAGAAGGGAGUGUGCAGACUCCGGAGAUAAAGCAGAGGAAGACGUGGUUACAGGAGAGAGACGCCAGCAGCCACCCCAGGCUGGAAGAGACAAGGAAUGGGCUUUCCUCUAAGCCUUCUGAGGGAGUGUGUUCCUAACCACACACUGAUUCCAGACCUCCACCUGCCAUAACUGUGAGCAAUUAUGUUCUGUUGUUGUAAGGGUGAAAGUUUCUGGUACCCUCUGACUUGGAUUCUAGUUAUUCUGUUUGUCUUAUUUUGGCAACUAUAUUGUUCUUUGCUCAAAAGUUGAGUGGACCUUAUUUAUAGCCUCUAAGAUAUCAAGAUUAGUGUUCAACACACAGCACUAGAAUGCUUGAGGACAGAGCUGCAAUAUAAUCAAUAUAUAAAAAAUAAACCUUGACUAAGUAGUACAUUAUUUAGUGGGAGAAUACAAGUAAGUAAAUCCACUCUUAUAGCGUAGUGUAUUUAUUUACCUUUUGAAAAGCACUGUGCUGUAGGAGGAUCCUGGAGUGAAUCCUGGCCCCAAAUUAGAACAUUUUAAGAAAAAAUCCUUAAGAAGUGAGAUCUGCUUCACUUGGAAGUUGAAAAAAAUUUAUCCAGUUAAGAAGAUGGAGAUAUACACUUCAUAAAAUAGAACACUGUAGGUACAAUAUCCUGAAGGAAAGGCAAAGCAUGGCAUAUUCAGGGAAUCAGAGUAAUUUUAGUUGUUGAAAUUGUAGAGAAUAGAAUGUAAGAGUGAAGGAUAGGAUUUAGGGCAGUGGAGAAAUGAGAUCUGAUACUUCAAAAACUAAAGCAGAUCAUAAACAUUUUUAAAUGGCAUAGUAAUUCAGAUUCCAAAUAUCGAUAUUUUUGUGUUAUAUGCAAAGCACGGGAACUACCUGAUAGAAAACUGUAUCAGUGGGAGGAAGACAGAAGAGUCUGGCAGGGAACAUGGGUUAGAAGUUAACUGGAAUCAUCUAAAUGAGAGAAAGUAGGAUCCUUAACUAGGUUAUUGACUGUAUGUAUGGGGAGCUCUGAGAAGCUAUAAAAUAUUCACCAAAGGCAACAACAGAACAUGAGCUGAAAAUGGAAAAGUAAGAGGACAAAGAAAUGAAAAUGUAAUUGUAGCAUCUCCAGCCCUGAUGGAGUGGCCAGGGCAGAAUCAGCCUUCCUGCCAUGAAAUGCCAUGACUGGUAAGAAGAUAUUUGCAUGUUGAACAUCCACGGGUAACACUAGCACAUGGCAGGAGUGAAGACUCCUCUGUUCGUCUUGUAGAAUUUACAAGUGACAUGGAAAAGAGUGGGUGCAAUUCCUGCCCGAAGAAAGAAAAAAAAAAUCUAGACAACUUGUAAAAUUAACAGCCAUAAUUCCCAGCACAAAACUUCAAAGUGGACUACUGGAUGUGAAGAUGUUGGAAAAUUAAAUUCAUCACCAGAAUAAAAAAGUCUGUCAAUGGAAUGUAUAGCAAUGCAUAUUGGUCACAGUGAUCUCAAACUUGAUGAUAAUUAUUGGGCAUGGAAUCCAGAAGUCUCAAGGAUCCGCAGGCAGAAGAAAGAGAGCCCAGGAAACUAAGGCAUUCCCAGAACCAAAUUGCUAAAACCCAACAGUGAAGAGAGAAUUUCAAUGGAAUCAGAUUUAAAAUAAGAGGAACACACACUGUGUAAGGGAAGGUUGGGGAAGGGUGGGAUAGUCUGACAAUGAACUUUACCAGAGACACAAGAAAGUGGAAGACAGGAGCCAACACAUCGACGGUACCACGAGGACAGAGAGCACCACCACCAAACAACCAAAAUCCUGCAGCAAGUAAGUACAGUAAAUGCAUUUUCUUAAACAAUGAGAGUAAAAUCAGUACAAAAGCCAAAAGACCUUCUUAUUAGCAGAAGUAUACUAUAAGCAACGCUAAAGGGAGUUUUGGAAGUCUGAAGAGAUGUUACGGCAACCAAAGCCUUGACUAUAUGGAAAGAAAUGAGGAAGAAUGGAAACCAUUAAUUCAUGUUCAAAAGUGAAACCACAUCUCUUUCUUUCUAACUUGAUUUUUUAAAAAGCCAACUGACUAAAGCAUAUUAAUGGCAUUGUAAUCUGCUGUCUAUUAUACUUGCAAGUAAAAUAUAAAAUAAUGAUAGCAGACAGUACAUAGUGGGAAAAAUUAGAAACAAAUGAUCAAAACUGACACAAAUAAUUGGAAAAUUUACUUAUGCCAAUAUUUAUUACAGAAACCAGAUUUCUAAUUUAAAAAUCCUCAGAAAGAAAACUCGGCCCAAAUAGGUUCAAUGAAAGAUUCUAUCAAAUAAUGAAGAAUUAAUGAAAACCAACUGUAACCAAACAGUUUCAGAAAAUAGCAAAAUGUUGAUUAAUAUAUAAAAACCAUCAGCAAAUGAUUAGAAAUGAAGUUAAAAAAUUCUCAUUUUACAACAGCAUUAAAUGUAUAUGAUACUUAGGCAUAAGGGGAAAGAAAUACAGCAAUACCUAUCGCCUAAAAUGUGUAAAUCAUUGCUGGAAUAAUUUGAAGUUGACCUAAGACCAUAGAAAAAUAUACCAAUCUCAUGGAUUAAUAGAAGCAAAGUUGUUAAUACUUCAGUAUCCACCAGUCAAUGUAUACAUUCAGUGCAGUCCAUUCAAAAUCUCUGUGGAUUUAUUUUUAGUGAAUGUUGUCCUGAUUGUACCACAUAUAUGGAAAUGUAAAUGACCUAGAAGGACACAAGUAAUUUUCCAAAGGAACAACAAUAUUAAAGAUUUUAUACUACGUGAUUUCAAGAAUUUAUACAAAAAUAUAGCAAUUGAUGCAGCCAAUCAUAUCAUGGAACAGAAAAGCGACCAGAAAGAGACCCUUUGUAGUAAAUUUUUUAAAGAACCGUAUGUCCAACCACACUAUCAGUAAAGAAAUCUAUUCCAUGUGUAGCACUGUAAAAUCAGGUAUGUAUAUGGAGGAAAUAGGAAAAUAAAUUUCAUUAAUAAAAACGACUUGUUCAUUCACCAGACUAAACAUAAAUAGGCAAACAUAGACUGGGGAAAUAUUCACAAUACAUAUAUAGCUGAAAAAUAAUUGCCCUUUAUCCAGAAUGUCAAAAAAAGUAUACAUCUUCUUAGUAAAAGGCACUCCAGUCAGCAGAUGGACAAACGUACCUCAACAGGCAUUUCAUGGAAGAUUACAAGUGGCGAACAGCCUGUAAAAGUGUUCACCGUCGGCCACGAGAAAAAUGAACAUUAUCAUGAAACACCGUGAUGCAAAAGCUACAAUUAAUGAAGUUUGCUAAUGAGAUGGGGAAUUCCAAUUUUGCAGACUAUGGAACAGCUGGAGACUCUCGAGAGUGCAGAGCGAUACAGUCACUUUGGAGGUCAGUCCGCAGCCCUGGGUAAAGUCAGACACAGAUCCUAUGGCCAGGAAUUUCCAUUCUCCACAGAAAGACCGGGGCACAUGUGUGCACAGCCGUUUUAUCCACCAUUGACAAAACUAGGAACAUUUCAAAUAAAUGUGUUUCAUUGGAAGAGUGAAAGAAUAUUCGUGUUAUAACCUUUCAGUGAAAUACUGUACAGCGAUAAUCAAGCAAAUUGCUCAUGUGCACAAUAACAGAAGUUCAUCUUAAAAACAUCAUGGUAAGGAAAAGAAAGUCAUGGGAAAGUAUGGUAUACUUUCAUAUGCAUGAAAUUCUAGAAAGUACAUAGAAAACACUAUUCCUUGUGAGAAGGGCUAAUGGAAAUAUCUACAUACACAUGAAGGGACAUUAAAAAACACAGAGGCUGGCGUUAUAUUUUUCAGGUCACAAUAUUUUUCAUAAAGGUCAACAUAUUUUGCCAACACUGGAUUUAAAAAAAGAAUAUUUCAAGGCUGGGAAGCUCCUAGUUAGCAGGUAGCAGUGUCUGUAGAGCAUUUUGCAGUUUGUGUGACGGUGGCCUCCGCAGGAGUGUCUCAUGUCCUUCACAGCUUGUCAAUAUCCCACUGGACCUUUAUACACUUGAAAAAUGCUUUGAGUCUAAACCUCAUCCUCUCUCUAUGAAGGUAAACCAUGGUUUACAAUGUUUGUUACAUACAUAUUUGUGUGUCCACCCAGAGGCUUGGAAGUGUUGGCCACCAGUUUACAACUCAUCUCACCGAUGAGCGGCCAGGCACGCCUGGUACUGAAGCUGCUGAUACAGUGCUGGUCUCGGAGGUGACAAGGUCACCAGUGUCACCCUAAAGUAAUUCAACAUGAGUGGAAACUUCUGACCAGUACUUUGCCAGAGUUUUAGUGAGUUGUGCAGGGCAUCAAGUUUGUGAUUGUGUAUAUGUAUAUACACUCAUUUUACAUUUCUUUUACUUAAUCUCUCUAUUAUUCUAUGACUGCAAUUAUGUUAAAACAUGCAUGCAGUUCUGUUGCAUUCCAGAUAGUUGGGGAAUGUAUUCAUGCACUCUAAUCAAAAGGGAUCAUGGACCUGGUAGAGUUGAGACUUUAUUCUGAAAGGAGCUCCACAUUGGUUCAUUACCAUAUUCACCAUGAUACUAAGGAAUCAGCAAGCACUGGCCAGAUAGACAUGGAGCAGACAGCGCUCUGGGCUUCUGAGUCAGGAGUCUUCACGGAGCCUUCUAAGAGCUGUGAGGGUUUAGAAAGCAGGGGAGGAGCAGAGGCUUAGUUCAGGAGGAAGGCUCUGGAGUGUGUGUGGAUUUUGUAAAUGAAGGAACAUGACAGAAGUCACUUUCUUUCUUCCGUGGAUUACCUGUUGUGUCUAUGUAUGUUCCUCCGUGUGUUGUUUUCUUGUUCAGAUCCUUUUCAGCACCUAGAAUGAACUCACUAUAUUUUCUGAGCUUCAAACUCUUUUUAGAUUCAGAUUAUUUUUUUGAGACAGGGUCUCAUAUGUGGUUUAGAUUGGGCUUGAACUCGCUAUGUAGCACAGGCUGGCCUCUAA